rnacentral:rRNA from 1 species
UACGAAGGGGGCUAGCGUUGUUCGGAAUCACUGGGCGUAAAGCGUACGUAGGCGGACCAUUAAGUCGGGGGUGAAAUCCCAGGGCUCAACCCUGGAACUGCCUUCGAUACUGGUGGUCUGGAGUCCGGGAGAGGUGAGUGGAACUCCUAGUGUAGAGGUGAAAUUCGUAGAUAUUAGGAAGAACACCAGUGGCGAAGGCGGCUCACUGGCCCGGUACUGACGCUGAGGUACGAAAGCGUGGGGAGCAAACAGGG